rnacentral:rRNA from 1 species
UACAGAGGAGCCAAGCGUUGUCCGGAUUGACUGGGCGUAAAGCGCACGCAGGCGGGUGCGCGCGUGGGGUGUGAAAUCUGGCCGCUUAACGGCCAGGCGCCAUCCCAUACGGCGCGCCUGGAGCCUUGCAGAGGAAGGUGGAAUUCCACGUGUAGCGGUGAAAUGCGUAGAGAUGUGGAGGAACACCGAUGGCGAAGGCAGCCUUCUGGGCCAACACUGACGCUCAUGCACGAAAGCGUGGGGAGCAAACAGG